GUGAUUGUUGGGGCACGAUUGGCAGGAGCUUCAGUGAUGAAGACUGCUGAACUUGCUGAUGUUUCACAAUAUGCCACGGCCGUCUCAGUCACCAGGUCUCAACACAACUGAACACAACCAUCCCUCCAAUAGACUUCCAGACAGUUGUAGAAUGUUUGCCAAGGCUCAUUGUAAGAGCUGUAAAGAGAGAUGGACUCUGAGAGAGAACAGGCAGAACCUGAUAUGUAAAUGAGCAGAGCAAACGAAAGUAACUUUCGACGACCGAAUGAUCAUUCAGACUCUGUUUCUAUUGAGAGAUAAAAGGCUGGUUGAAUGAGUUGCCUGUGAAAGCUACUUCAUCUGCAAGAAAACAGGCGGCUGCACCAGUGACUGUCAGAAGUUUUGUGAUUUCCUCAUAUGAACGUGAAAGGGUCAGUGCUCUAAAAUGAGUCUCUCUGGGGAGAGAGAGGAGGGGGGCCCUGCCUCUAAAAUGAGUCUCUCUGGGGAGAGAGAG